rnacentral:rRNA from 1 species
GACGAACGCUGGCGGCGUGCCUAAUACAUGCCAGUCGAACGGAAAGGCCCGGCUCUUGCUCCGCGCUCGUGAGCCGAACGGGUGAGAAAAACGCGUGUAUAACCCACCUGUCAUACGGAUAAAUCUAGGAAAAACGGGCUAUUACCCGAUAUAAGCUGCUGCAGCACGGGGGGGGACGGAAAGAUACGGUCGUGCGGGCAGGACUAGCGGCGUAUUAGCUAGAUGGGGAGGUAACGGCUUACCAAGGCUACGAUGGGUAGCCGACCUGUGAGGGUGAUCGGCCACACUGGAGCUUAGACACGGUCCAGACUCCUACGGGAGGCAGCAGUAGGGAAUCUUCCGCAAUGGGCGAAAGCCUGACGGAGUAACGCCGCGUGAGUGAAGAAGGUCUUCGGAUCGUAAAACUCUGUUAUUAGGGAAGAACAAAUGUGUAAGUAACUAUGCACGUCUUGACGGUAACUAAUCAGAAAGCCACGGCUAACUACGUG